rnacentral:lncRNA from 1 species
AUUUUCCUAAAUCUAACACACUUUAGACCCAAUAAAAGUGGAGUACCAACAACCAUAAAUUGAUUUGCUUGUAUGAAAAAUUGAGAUCAUCAUAUAGCAUCUUGAUGCUCUACAUAUUUAUAAGGAUGGUUGAUCUUUAUUCAAACAAGUUAAAGGUUUGAUUUCUUAUUUAUUUUACACAAAUACUUAAUUCUUUGAUUUGUAAUACAUUUACAUAUUAGGAUUUCAUUUGUAGUGUUUAUUUUGAAGUUUGGUUUGUAAUUUAUUACUUUGGAUUUGAUCUACUUCUAUGCUAGUGUUUUGAAUUUGACGUGAUUACAAAUUUUGCCGUGUGUAUGCCUUAUGAAUUUGUUGAGUCUAUCAUUUGCCUUUCUAUACUUUAUGCAUUGAGACUCAUUUUUUGGGUAGCUUUGAUUGUAUGGUAGCUUAAUCCUAAGCGUUGGCUAUAUAUUUUGCACUAGAACAAUUCAAUAGUACUGAUCAUUUUGUGGUUUCUCUUUUCUUUUUGAUAAUAUCAAGAUGAAAAAAAUGAGAUUGCAAUGAAUCGUUUCUCUUCCAACAAUUUGAGAAAGAUUCAUCAAUAAAGACUCGCAAAGAUUUACAAUCAUAAAAAACAGGAGAUUGUAACUGUAAGAGUCUCUUAGAUGAUAUGCGUAUAUCUUUGACGAUUCUCAUUCUCAAUAUAUUGACAAUGCUACUUGAAUUGGAAAGAGUUCAUGAAAAAUAAUGUUUUAGCAUGCAUAACUUUUAUUGGAUGUUGUUUUAGCAUGCAUUAACUUUGUAGCAUAUUUUAUUGCAUUGACAUACUUUGGAACACAUUAAAACAAAAUUCGAAGUGAUUUUUAAUUUUGUAAAUCGACUUACAGACAUCAAAAACUUAGUUUUUUAUGUCCUAGACCUAUGAAUCACCUUAUAGGACAUAUGAGUUGACUCACCUUAAAACAAAAUAUUUUGUAAUUCAACUUACAAAGGUGUGAAUCGACCCACACAAUUGCAGACUUCAAAAAUUCAUUUUUCAAAUUUCUAUAAGUUGACAAACUAUCUAUUCUUCUCAUUCCAGAUCAUCCUCGAAAAUUAUUUUUGCAAAGAUCAAUUCCUAAACAGUUCCCAAGUGAUAAUAUACCAUUUUGUUCAUGCAAUCAGACAUUUUCCUGCCACUAAAACUCAAUAUCCCCAUUCUGCAUAAAAUAUGUGUAGUCAACUUUAUGGUUCUCUCUAACGUGUGUGAAGGAGAGAACUUUCUCUAAUUGUCGUAACCAAUACUUGGAUCGUUCUGGAUCGGAGGCCUCCUUGAACCGUGGUGGUUUCCUUUUCAGGAAUGCAAAUAGUCCUACGUCUUCAUGGGCGUUCUCUUUUUACUCCCUUACACACGGGUAGUCUAUUGUGUAUGAAGUAACAUCGCCUCAACCAAUUCCUUGAUGAUCCUAGUCGUCUCAAAUUUCUCCAGUCAUCUCGUCCAUCCGUAAAGUCUCGUCUAUGGGUUCCUAACUCCCAUUAUCUAAACCUCUUAUAGCAUUUUUGGUUCUUUUACCCCGAGCGCAUGCAUUAUGAGCCAUUGUAUCCUUAAAAGGAUAACAUAGGCUUAACAUUCAAAAUAUAUGACAAUAAUAGGACUAUAUGUAUAAACUUUAGGAAAUGAUCUAGUCAAAAGGAAAAUAGCACAGGUCAGAGCCACUUCUCGAAUUCUCUAUGUCAUUAAAAAUAAAAGUGUCACUUUUAUGAAAUUUAAAGAAUGACAUAUGCAAAUUGGAACUCAAAAGGAAUCUAAGCUGAAAUGUUUAAGAACUGACAAUUUUGGAAAAGGGUCAGAUGUAUGAUCUUGAGUGCAGGUCUGCCAAAAACAUUAUGGGGAGAAGCUGCAGUUACAACAGUUUACCUGAUCAAUAAAUGUCCUUCAUCAACUAUUGGAUUUAAGACACCAAUUGAGAUGCGGAAUGGCAAGCCAGCUGACUCCUCAAAUCUGAAAGUAUUUGGCUCUUUAGGAUUUGUUCACACAAGACAAGAUACAUUGGAUCCUAGAGCAAUCAAAUGUGUUUUCAUUGGAUAUCCUAAUGGAAUAAAAGGUAACAAGUUGUGGAGGAAUGACCAAGGUGUGUCUAAGUGCAUCAUAUCAAGAGAUGUAGUGUUUGAUGAAACACGAAUGCCCAUGAUUGACAAAGAACAUUCUUCUAUUGAGACAAAAUCUCUCAAAUGGUUUUAAUUAUAACAAAAUUACUUAAGAGAUUAUGAUUGUGGUUAAUAACUAAUAUGUGCUUUUGAGUGAAUUUAUAUAAGAAAACAUGUUAUUAAUCAUUAAGGCAAAAAGGAGAAAAAUCUAAUACAAAUCUAAAGGAUUGAAAUUCCUAUGGAUAGCCUCGUGAAGAGGAUGAAGUCUCAAAUCUGCACAAUACUUGUCCUCUCCAGAAAAAAUGUUUUUAUUCAUUAAAGAAAUGCACAACAGUAUCAAAGAAUGAAUAAAUAAAGCAUUUGAAAUAAAAAUAAGAAGGCCAAAGGAAAAGGACGAAAAUGGCCAGAUCUAAGUCUAGAGGAUGAUAGACUAGGCUGAGGAUGGUUCAGUAAAGUUGAAAGCAACCCAUCAAGCAUGUGCAAAGGAUAAAAUCAUACCAUUUAUUGUGCUUGCAUGAAUGAAUACAUGAAGAAGUCAAGUUAAAGAAAGGCAACAACAAACAAGCCAAAAAUGGAAGAUCACAUGUUGAAAGCAGAUUUGAUCCUCGGACUGGAGGAUGACAGUUCUAUGUAAGAGGGUAACUCUUUCUCUUGUCAACAUCACCCUCAAAAGUUGAAAUCAACCUAGUCCAGAGGAAUUCAGAAGAUGAUAAACAGAAGAGGACAAAAUAAAAGACCUCCUCAAAAAGAAAAAAUUCACAAAAGUCAAAUAACUUGUUAUGGAUGCAACAAGAUGGGACACUACAAAACUGAGCAUCCUCUCAAAAAAAGGAACUCAAGAAGAUUUCCAUACAAAAAAAGAAAGCCUUGGUACUUGGACAGUGGUUGCUCAAGACAUAUGACAUGGGAUAAGCAAUGCUUUAUAUCAUUAGAGAUAAAGGAUGGAGGAUCAGUCACAUUUGGCAAUAAUGAUAGAGCUCAAAUAAAAGGAACAAGUAUUAUUGGUAAGAAUAAUUCUGCAAAAAUUGAAAAUGUUCAAUAUGUGGAUGGCUUAAAAGAUAACUUGCUAAGCAUUAGUCAAUUAUGUGAUAAUGGAUUUGAAGUUAUUUUUAAGCCUACUCUAUGUGAGGUUAAACACUCAUCGUCGGGUAGAGUUUUCUUUUCCGGUUUUAGAAAAAAGAAUUUAUAUGAACUUUAUCUUGAUGAUUUACCUACAGAAUCUUGUUUUGUUUCCAUUGAAAAAGAUAAAUGGAUUUGGCACAAACGAGCUGGUCACACAAGCUUAAACACUAUUUCUAAAUUAGAAAAAUUGGAAUUCGUAAAAGGUGUUCCAAAAAUUAAUUUUGAAAAAGACAAAUUUUGCGAAGCUUGUGUCAAAUGAAAACAAGUUAAGAGUAGUUUUCACUCUAAAAACAUUGUUUCAACAAAUCAUCCUCUUGAACUUAUUCACAUUGACCUUUUUGGUCCUAUCAAAACUCCAAGUCUUAGUGGAAAAAGAUAUGGUUUUGUAAUUGUUGAUGAUUUCUCUCGUUUUACUUGGGUUCUAUUUUUAAAACAUAAAUAUGAAGCCUUUGAGGCAUUCCACCAUUUCUGCAAAAUAUUCAAAAUGAAAAAGGAUAAAAAAUUGUAUCCGUGAGAAGUGACCAUGGAGGUGAAUUUGAAAAUGAAUCCUUUAAAAAUCUUUGUGAAGAAAAUGGUAUUUCUCACAACUUUUCUUGUCCAAGAACUCCCCAACAAAAUGGGGUUGUUGAAAGGAAAAAUAGAACUUUACAAGAAAUGGCUAGAACUAUUUUAAAUGAGCCAACAUUGAAAAAUACUUUUGGGCCGAAGCCACCAAAACUGCUUUUUAUGUUUCUAAUCGUGCAUCCAUUAAAAAAAUUUUAAACAAAACUCCAUACGAAUUAUGGAAAGGGAGAAAACCAAAUAUUUCAUAUUUUCAUAUAUUUGGGUGUUAUUGCUACAUUCUAAAUAAUAAAGAAAAUUUGGGAAAGUUUGAUCCAAAAUCUAAUAAAGGAAUUUUUCUAGGAUACUCCACAACAUCAAAAGGUUAUAGAAUAUAUAAUCUUUGGACUCAAACUGUGGAGGAAUCCAUGCAUGUUAUUUUUGAUGAGUUUGAUGACUUGUGUUUAGACAAAAUGGAUAAAAAUGAAAAAGAUGAACAGUCAUUCUCUCAAGUACCCGGUCCUCACGAAGAGGAUGAGUCUGACCCAACCUUUCAGCAACUUCCAAGAGGAUGGAAAACAGUCACACAUCAACCUCCAGAUCUAAUCAUUGGGAACACCAAGGAUGGUGUUAGAAUCAGAAAUUCUCUAAGGGAAAACACUGCCAACAUGGCCAUGAUAUCACAAGUUGAACCCAAAACGAUUGAUCAAGCUAUUAGUGACAAAUCAUAGGUUGAAGCUAUGAUGGAAGAACUCUCACAGUUUGAAAGAAACAAGGUAUGGAAUCUUGUACCCAUCAUUUGGACAAAUCCAUUAUUGGGACUAAAUGGAUAUUUAGAAAUAAACUAAAUGAGGAUGGAGAGGUCAUUAGAAAUAAAGCAAGAUUAGUGGCACAAGGGUACAAUCAACAAGAAGGAAUUGAUUAUAAUGAAACGUUUGCACCCGUAGCAAGACUUGAAGCAAUAAGAAUCCUCUUAGCUUAUGCUACUCAUAAAGGUAUCAAACUAUUUCAAAUGGAUGUCAAAAGUGCCUUUUUGAAUGAGUUCUUAAAUAAGGAAGUGUAUGUUCGUCAACCUCCUGGGUUUUAGGAUGAGAAGAGGCCGAACCAUGUGUUCAAACUCUCAAAAGCUCUUUAUGGUUUAAAGCAAGCUUCUCGAGCUUGGUAUAAGAGGUUAAGCUCUUUUUUAAAAGAAAAUGGAUUUAUUAGAUGACAUAUUGAUACUACUAUUUUCAAGAAGACUCUUGAGAAGGAUUUAUUGAUUGUUCAAAUUUAUGUCGAUGACAUAAUUUUUGGAUCCACAAAUGAAAAGAUGUGUAAAGAUUUCUCCAACCUCAUGCAAAGUGAGUUUGAGAUGAGUAUGGUGGGGGAAUUAAAAUUCUUCCUUGGUUUGCAAAUCAAACAACGAGAGGAUGACAUUUUCAUAUCACAAGAAAAAUACACUAAAUAUUUACUCAACAAAUAUAACAUGAGUUCAGCCAAGAGUAUGGGAACUCCUAUACACCCAUCCUUCAUACUCCACAAAGAUGAUGAAGGAACUCCAAUAUCUGAAAAAGAGUACAGAGGGACGAUCGGAUCCUGGUUGUAUUUAAUAGCCAGCAGACCGGACAUAGUCUUUGCAGUCGAUCUUUGUGCAAGAUUCCAAUCCUCUCCUAAAGAAUGCCAUCUCACUACAGUAAAAAAGAUUUUUAGAUAUCUUGUUGGCACUAUAAAUCUGAGAAUUUGGUACAAGAAAUGUUCCAAUCUUGACCUCUUAGCUUAUUGUGAUGCCGACUACGCGGGAGAUAAAGUUGAAAGAAAAAGCACAAGUGGUGCUUGCCAAUUUCUUGGUAAAUCCCGAAUAAGUUGGUCAUGCAAAAAAAAAAAGUACCAUUGCUCUUUCAUCUACUGAGGCAGAAUAUGUAUCAGUCACUCAAUGUUGCUCACAAUUACUUUGGAUAAAAAAUCAACUUGAGGAUUACUCACUAAGGUACGCAAAAAUUCUCAUCCUCUGUGAUAAUACAAGUGUAAUAUAGCUGUCUAAAAAUCCCAUUCAACAUUCUAGAUCUAAGCACAUUGAAAUUAAACAUCAUUUUAUAAGAGAUCAUGUGCAAAAAGGGGAUUUAGAACUGAUUUUUAUUGACGUUGAAAAUCAAUUAGCAGAUAUUUUUACCAAAACUCUCCAAGAGGAUAGGUUCAAAAAGAUCUUGGAGGAACUCUCAAUCCUUAAUUUGUCUAAAAUUAAUUGAUUUAUCCUUUUUAUGUUCCUUUAUUAUACUUAUCUUAUAAUGGUUUUUUUUUUUUUUAUAAGUAAAAAUCCAAAAAAUAUCUGAUGUUUUAUUUAAUAUGUAUAUACAUUUUUAGUCUAAACCUGCGAGGAUAGCAAAAACCACCAGAGGACGGAAUGUCCUUAUUGGUGUAACUUCCCUUUACACGGCAGAGUAGAAAAACUGCACACGCCUCCUCUCUCAUUGGCCAGCACGCGUGGCGCCUGCCUCCAUGUUUCACGCUGUGCAUUUAAUGCAUUAACGACUACGUGUCCACAACAUGCCUCAUCCAUCAUCACGCUAGGUUCCCAGGUAAACGACACAUUAACUUUCUUUUCUCUCACAUGUUUCCUCCCACGAUUCUUCCUGUACAUCUUCUGUCCUCAUCUAUGUAUUUCACGUCCUCCAUCUUUCUAACUCAUCAACCCUAUGUUCAAAACUUCUCUUUACUCAUCAGUUGUUUUCCACUCUACGUGUUUUUUCCAAUGGCUCGUACCAAAGUUACUGCAAAACGCAAAAUAUCUUAUCAAGAACUCGAAGAGAAUCAAGAUGUCUACUCAAGCACUGAUUCAGAUUACCAUGAGGAAACCCAAUCUGAAGGAAAUUCCUUGAACACCAUUCCUUCCUCUCAACCAUCCAAAAGUUCUUCUUCUUCUUCUUCUUCUUCUAUCACUCCAAAAAUCUCAAAAAACUCAUCCUCCUCUGCUCCCAUAAGGUGCUCCUCCAGGACCAUAUCUGGAGUUGUUUCAUCCAAAAGGACGUCCCUUCAAGAAAACACGAUUCAUGUCAUCCACUCUAAUGAUUCAGAGACAAAUAUCCCUCCAGAAUCUUCACAUCAGCCUCCUCCUGCAAAAUAUACAUAAAAAACUUCAACUCCUAAAAAUGCCAAACCUUCUUCACCAAAACCCCCAUCCUCAUCCACAAAAAAUUCUAAAAAUACUCCACUGUUUGAUUCGGCCGAAUUAGAAACUAACUACAUCUCAAAAUGGCAAAACAAAUAUGUGGUCAAUGGUAAAAUCAUUGACCUUGCUGAUAUCAAACAAGGAGGAUUCAAUGUGGAAGAAAUGUUUGACCAACUCGGAUGGACCUCUUUUUUCCAAAUCAAUGAACCCAAGUAUCCUCACCUUGUAAGGGCUUUCUAUGUUGCCUCAAAGGGCUCAAAUUAGUAUGGUGCUAAAAGGGGUUCAUAUGGAAAUAAAUCCCACUACGCUAUGUCAAAUCCUUGAUAUACGCGAUGAAGGAGCCUACUACUUAUCAGAGACAUGGUAUUCACAAUGUGUCAUCCCUAGAACCUCUGUACUCCAAAACACUCUCAUCAUAUGCAUAUUUUCCCACUAUUCUAGUCUUAUUUAUCCUCAACUACUAGUUAAAUUAAGGAUUUAUUUGAUAUAUUUUGUUGAUUUUUGUUCCUUGAGUUAAAUUAAAUGUUUUAUGUUUUAUUUUAGUGAUUAAGUAGGAAUUUUUCGUAAUUUUACAUUGCGUUGCGUUUUGGUGCAGUGCUGAAUUUUGGUGAGAAAUCAACAUGACACAUGUAGAGUAUUUCAGCCAUAUCUGGUGUUGUAGAUGUCCAAUUGGAGUCAAACCAAAUGCAAAUGAAAGCUAGGAUCCAUAGCUACAACUUUCAUGAAGACACCGGAACCAAAUUCAGACUCGAAAGAGGAGAAAAAUGCAAUAUACGCCAGAUAGCA